rnacentral:lncRNA from 1 species
NNNNUAUCGGCUGCGGCAAAGCAAAGCGAGAAUCCGGCGAACGAGUAAAAUAUAACUGCGGGGGGGGGGGGGGGGGGGGGGGGGCAGCCCCUGCCCCCCCGGGGGGAGCGGGGACCCCCGAAAAGGCGGGCGGGGGCAGCCGGCGGCGCGGAGGCACUGCGGCGGGAUUUUUGGUUUGGGUGAGGCGCGGUCCGGCCGGCUGCCGCCUCGGCGCCUUUUUGGGGCGGUUUCUCUCCUUUUUGCCGCUCUUUGCCCCGGCGUGGGUUUUGCCCCCCACACCCCGGCUCUCCCUCCCGCCUGCCCGCGGGCAUCGCGCGGGGCACCCAGCGGGGCUCGGGGGCACCCAGAGGGGCACCCACGGACCGGGGUACCCAGAGGGGCACCUGGGGGUCUCCCCGGGACACCCAGAGGGGCACCCGUGAUUCUACCCGGGGCACACACGGGUAUCUUCAGGGGCACCCAGAGGGGCAUCACCUGGGACACCCAGAGGGACACCCAGGGGCACACAGAGGGAUCCUCGUGGGCACCAGAGGGACCCCCGUGGGUGUUCCUCUGGGUACCCAGCAGGGCACCUGUGAGCACCGCCCGGGGCACCCAGAGAGUCACGCACAGGCAUCACCUGGAGCAUCCAGAGGAGCAUCCACGGGCAUCACCUGGAGCAUCCAUUGGGGCACCCAUCGGGGCACCCGUGGGCGUCACCCGGAACACCCAGAGUGACACCCACGGGCAUCGUACGGGAGACCCAGAGGGUCACCCGUGGGCAUCUCGCGGGGCACCCACCACCGGGGGCACCCAGCGGGUUCCCAGCCGGCGCUGGGAUCCCCGGGCUGGGGGCAGAAAGCAGCAAAUUCCAAACUCCGAGUACAAAAAAAACCCAAACAAACAAAACAAAACUACAAAAAAACCCCCAAAAUCCAAAAAAGAACCCAAACCCCACCAAACAAGACAUAUAUAUAUAUAUAGGGGAUUUUAUAUAUAUAUAUAUAUAUAUAUAUAUUCCUUUGCGAUUUAAAGUACCUUAACUGUGUGUGGGCCCGUGGGCCCGCGCCCCCCCGGCCCUGCAGCCCCAUAUAUAUAUAUGUGGAGAUAUAUAUAUAUAUAUAUGUACAGGUUAUUUGUUUUAUUUAUAGGUCACGAGGACUAUUUUUAAUUAAUUUUUUUAAGCCGACGAGCCCGACUAAAAACCCUCUAGGAGAGACUGUAGUGCAUGAAACCCCCGCGGUGAUUGUCGAGUGGAGCCCCCUCGUGUCCCCAUCCUGUGGGGGACUCCCCCGGAGCAUCCCCAGGGAUGGGGAGCGUUCCCUCC